UACGAAGGGUGCUAGCGUUGUUCGGAAUUACUGGGCGUAAAGCGCGCGUAGGCGGCUUAACAAGUCAGGGGUGAAAUCCCGGGGCUCAACCCCGGAAUUGCCUUUGAAACUGUUAGCUAGAGUGUCGGAGGGGAUAGCGGAAUUGCUAAUGUAGAGGUGAAAUUCGUAGAUAUUAGCAGGAACACCGGUGGCGAAGGCGGCUAUCUGGACGACAACUGACGCUGAGGCGCGAAAGCGUGGGGAUCAAACA
rnacentral:rRNA from 1 species